rnacentral:lncRNA from 1 species
CCGCAGGGGGCGCUGUGGUGCCGCCAGCCCGUUCCCGUCCGCGCCCGAGCCCGCGCACCCGGCAGGUUCCCCCACACACCCCGCGUCCCCGCGGGCGUUAGGGUCCCAGCCCGGCCGCGGGCUCCCCCGCCACAGCAGCUCCCUGCAGCAGGCCGGGCCUGAGUUCUGAGCCGGCGCUCGGCCGGGCGGGGCAGCUCCGUCUGCUGCCUUCGGCCGGGGGAGCCGUCGCGGGCUGCAGACCUGUGACCCCUCGGUCCCCAUCCCACCCCAGGCCCCUGUACCCUGCGGGGUGGCGGGGAUCCAUCAGGUCUGUCACUUCCUGCGCUGUCCCAGCCGGUGCAGGCCCGGGCCGCAGCCUUAUCUUCCGGGAGUCCUCUAAUCCGGGGUCCCCCUGGCCCAGAGCAAACGGGAGGAUCCCGAGGCAGGCGCUGCCCGGGUGAGGUUAGCGGGACCACGCUGCCCGGGACGCUGCCCGCGGCCGGGGACCGUCCUCCUCGCCCAGGCCCGACCCGGCCCCUUCUCUCCCAAGGCGCCUCCAGGCCCGAGUUCCUCCCCGCGGCCACCCGGGAAGGCGGCGAAGGCGCGGAAGACCUGGAGCGGGACAGCAGCGCGCUGAGUCUCUCGGGACUUUUCCAGUUGGAUGACAGCCCUGAAACGGGUUGCUCCAGAGCUGUGUCCCUGGAGACCGGGAGAGGAAGCACCGAGGGAGAGAAAGAACGUGCUGAGGGGGAAAGGGCACCGAGCAGCGCCGAGGAGGAGCAAGCGGGCAUCCAGCCCCCCACAGUGCUGACGAGGCCCUCAAGUCCCAGCGUCCCCUCUCCUGAGAACUGACCCUUGUCACCACCAUCGCUCCAGCCUGGCCAGGCUGCCCUGCCAUCCGCCUCCUAGGGCCAGGCUGCCGUGGUGCUGCAAUCGCGCCCUCCUUCCUCAAGCGGAAAACAGCCCACAGCUCAGCAGCCGUGGAUGUGCAGCCCCAGGAAGGGCCCGGGGAGCCCCCAGGACAGCCCACGGGCUUGUAGCUCCUGACCUUGGAGGGCCAGAUGUGCACUGUGGAGGCUCAGACGUGUGGCAGCAGCCCGGGCCUCUACCACAAGAUAUCAGUAACAAACCACGCCAUGUCCGCCUUCCCACCCCCAAACUGUGACAAUCAAAACCUGCCUUCAACCUGCCAAAGUCCCCUGCGGCUGGGCUGGGACCCACUCAGCCAGGCCAGGGAAUGCACAUGUGCUAUUGUUAGGCCGAGGCGGUCUGGGAUGUUCGCAUAUAGAUUUCUAAAUUUUUUAAUUAUUUCAGUUAUUUUCAGUUAUUUUUUGUUUUAAUUUCUUUGUUUUCACUUGUUUUGAGGUUUCCAGUUAUCUAAUUUUAUACCUUUAGUUACUUUUUAAAAAUAAUUUAGUUUUUGGUUUUCAUUUUUCAAUUAUUUGUUUCUUUCAAGAGUCACAGAUUUUCAAAUUAAUUAGUUUACAAUUAUUUAUUUUUAAGAAUGUAUCUUUAUAGUUACUAAUGUCUGAGUUUUUCUAUUUUUAGUUAUUGGAGUUCUUGAGUUACUUUUUUUUAGUUACUUGACUGAAGCUCAUUGGAAGAUUUUGAAAUACUGUAGAGUUAUUUUAAGAGCGAGAUGUUCUUAGUUACUUCAGGUUUUUUCUUCUGAGUUAUUUAGUAUUAGAGUUACUUAUGGUCACAAGUUUUUUAAUUCAGUCAUUUUAGAGUCUGGGUUUUUUACACUCAUCUAUUUAUUAUUUAUUUUGUGUUACUUGGUUUUUAAUUACUUCAUUUCCAAGGUUCAUUUUCCAACAUUGUGUUCUGAAUGUUUUAUGUUCAGAGUCUGAGGCAUUCCAAUCUUUCCGUUACUUUCAGAUUUCCUUAGCUAUAUUGCUUUUCAGUCUUUGUCAUUUAAAUAUAUUCUCUUCUUUAUUUUCACAUAUUCUAUUCAGAUUUAUUUUCAGAGUUAUUUAGAAUUAGAAUUACCUAGUAUAUCCACCAGCUCGCCGGAGAGACACUAGAACACAGGUGUUACUAGAGGAUUCAACAAAAAGAACUGUACUCCUGCUGCUGGAGAUUUUUAAGAGAAGAAGUGAACUGGGGGGAUCCUGGAGAUUUUACCUCAGGAAGCAGCCACCGUGCCAGAGGCAGGGGAAUGAAAGGCAGAGGCUGGGUUCUCCAAAGUCAGACCCCUGGGGGUCGCGGUGGCCCCGAGGCUGGGCUCGUGCGGUGAGGAGGCACUGGCCACGUGCAGGUGCCUCUGGCUGGGGUCUGGGUGUCUGCAGGGGCACAACAGGGUGUUGACAGGAGAGCCGGAGGCUGGCAGGACCCAUGGGGCACCUGUCUCCCCUCCUCUCUUCCACCCUCCGCAGAGGAGGAGCCAGGGAAGUUCUGGGCUCGCUCACCAGCACCUUUACCCCAGUUCUAGAGUUGGUUUUGAUUUAGUGUGUUUGGAAUUUUUAUUUUUGUUUCUUUUUUAGGGGAUGGAGUUGAGACAGAGUCUUGCUAUGUAUCCCAGGCUGGCCUUGAAUUUAUGGCAGUCCUCCUGCCUCAGCCUCCUGAGUACCAGGAUUACAGGUGUGCACCACCACAUCCAGCUGUGUUUGGAAUUUUUAGGGGUGAUCUGACUUUGCGUUUUCCCUGGCCGUGGCCAAGUCUUUAGUCUCGGUUGUUUCUGGAGUGGUGUAGCCCAACAGACCCUGAAAGGACUCUCCCCUGUGAAUUCGAGGGAACCACUUUAGAAUUCAAGAAAACAAAAACAAUAUGUCUCACUGGGUUCACAACAGAAGGUCAGAGGCCAAAAAGGAAUGGAGAUUCAGGGACAGAUGUCAGGGGAGGCCUCGGGACCUCUGUCCCUCGCUCCCGCGUCAGGCUUUGCUGCAGACCCGGCCUCUCCCACAUCCUUUGCUACAACACAGUCUUUCCUGAUAAUGUGUGUUUGAAGUGUGUAGACUCUUUGCACAACAAAAUAAAGUUCCUCCCACAGCUACA